rnacentral:rRNA from 1 species
UGCUUUCUUGCUGACGAGUGGCGGACGGGUGAGUAAUGCUUGGGAAUCUGGCUUAUGGAGGGGGAUAACGACGGGAAACUGUCGCUAAUACCGCGUAGAGUCGAGAGACGAAAGUGCGGGACCGCAAGGCCGCAUGCCAUAGGAUGAGCCCAAGUGGGAUUAGGUAGUUGGUGGGGUAAUGGCCUACCAAGCCGACGAUCUCUAGCUGGUCUGAGAGGAUGACCAGCCACACCGGGACUGAGACACGGCCCGGACUCCUACGGGAGGCAGCAGUGGGGAAUAUUGCGCAAUGGGGGCAACCCUGACGCAGCCAUGCCGCGUGAAUGAAGAAGGCCUUCGGGUUGUAAAGUUCUUUCGGUGACGAGGAAGGCGUGAUGUUUAAUAGGCAUCACGAUUGACGUUAAUCACAGAAGAAGCACCGGCUAACUCCGURCCAGCAGCCGCGGUAAUACGGAGGGUGCGAGCGUUAAUCGGAAUAACUGGGCGUAAAGGGCACGCAGGCGGCUAUUUAAGUGAGGUGUGAAAUCCCCGGGCUUAACCUGGGAAUUGCAUUUCAGACUGGGUAGCUAGAGUACUUUAGGGAGGGGUAGAAUUCCACGUGUAGCGGUGAAAUGCGUAGAGAUGUGGA